rnacentral:lncRNA from 1 species
GACUCCCAGUCAGGGGCGUUGCCUGGUGCCUUCCUGCCUCCCUGGGAUCCAACAUGGCGCUCGUCACCCAGGCCAGCUUCCUCCCCUCAGGCUUCUCCGUGAGUGUCAGACUUGUCAGGGACCACCAGAGCUGUCAGGCGUCCUUGUCUGCUAUGAAAUCGGGAUGCCUCUUGCUCACUGAGGCAUUAUCCUCCAACUAGUGACGGGUUAAUUCCUUAAUCACCUGUUCGAGUCGUCCCUCUGCAUACCAGGCCUCACUUCCUAUUUCCUCGUGGUUCUGAGACGGUCAGAAAGGAGCAGAAAAUCUUUCUUUAGCAUCAGUUUGAUGAGAUGCUGGAUGUCUUACCUCUCACAGGCAGCAGGGGUUACCUACUUUUCACCCCACUGAAUGUCCAGUCCACUGGCCGGGAACAAUGGCUCACGUCUGUAAUCCCAACACUUUGCAAGACCAAGACGGGUGGAUCACCUGAAGUCAGGAGUUCGAGACCAACCUGGAAAACAUGGUGAAACCCCAUUUCUACUAAUAGUACAAAAAAAUUAGCCAGGUGUGCUGGUGCAUGCCUGUAAGUCCAGCUACUCGGGAGGCUGAGGCAGAGAAUUGCUUGACCCUGGGAGGUGGAGGUUG